rnacentral:rRNA from 1 species
AUUGAACGCUGGCGGCAGGCCUAACACAUGCCAGUCGAGCGGAUGCAGGGAGCUUGCUCCUGGAUUCAGCGGCGGACGGGUGAGUAAUGCCUAGGAAUCUGCCUGGUAGUGGGGGAUAACGUGCGGAAACGGGCGCUAAUACCGCAUACGUCCUGAGGGAGUAAGGGGGGGAUCUUCGGACCUCACGCUAUCAGAUGAGCCUAGGUCGGAUUAGCUAGUUGGUGGGGUAAAGGCCUACCAAGGCGACGAUCCGUAACUGGUCUGAGAGGAUGAUCAGUCACACUGGAACUGAGACACGGUCCAGACUCCUACGGAAGGCAGCAGUGGGGAAUAUUGGACAAUGGGCGAAAGCCUGAUCCAGCCAUGCCGCGUGUGUGAAGAAGGUCUUCGGAUUGUAAAGCACUUUAAGUUGGGAGGAAGAGCAGUAAGUUAAUACCUUGCUGUUUUGACGUUACCAACAGAAUAAGCACCGGCUAACUUCGUG